AGUAAAAGUCGUAACAAGGUUUCCGUAGGUGAACCUGCAGAAGGAUCAUUACUGGGUCUAGGCCUCGUGCCCGCCACCCGCCCUCUAUCAUAAGACGCGCAAGCAACUCACAUCGCUUCAGCCCUAGGGGAGACCCUCCGUUAACGCGGGAGGGGUACCCCGCAGCCAGUCACAAACCCAAACAUAUCAUAAAGUCUGAACAAAUGAUAAACAAAAAGCAAAACUUUCAACAACGGAUCUCUUAGUUCUAGCAACAAUAAAGAACGCAGCAAAAUGCGAUAAUUAAUAUGAAUUGCAGAAUUCAGUAAAUCAUCGAAUCUUUAAACACAUAUUACGCCCCCUAGUAUUCCAGGGGGCACGCCUAUCUAAGCGCCAUUACACCCCCCAAGCCUCGCUUAAUAUUUGGUCAUAGUACACUACUAGACCCUAAACCUCUAGGCGCCCCCCGCUAGCCGCGAGCGUAGCAAGAAUUUAUUCCUCGCUCCGCGUGUCCAUCAGGUAGGCCGCCUCUAAACCCCAUUUCUACACAGUUUGGCCUCAGAUCAGGCGGGGAUACCCGCUAAACUUAAGCAUAUCAAUAAGCGGAGGAAAAGAAACCAACAGGGAUUGCCCCAGUAACG
rnacentral:rRNA from 1 species